UGGGAGUCGGGACGAGACAAAUCAAAUUUUGUCACAUACACAUGGUUAGCAGAUGUUAAUGCGAGUGUAGCCAAAUGCUUGUGCUUCUAGUUCCGACCAUGCAGUAAUAUCUAACAAGUAAUCUAACAGACAGGCAGGCAGCGGUUCUCAGCCAGUAGAUAUCAUGAAUCAGCUGGCAUCAUUUUUAUGGAUAUAUACAAAGAAAUGUCAAUUGAAAAAUGGUCAAAUGAAUCAAAGUGCAGCUAGUUUGCAGUCUUUCCAGCUUCAGUUUGAAGAUAUUGUGUUAGCUGAAGUGUUGGUUAGCUCCUCUGAACAACAGUGUCCUGACGAGUGAGCACAUUUUCUAUGCCAGGCGAAAUCGUGCCUCAUUAGCUCAUUGUUAUGCAUGUAUCCAAAUAUAUGUCACUAGAAAACAACUUAUGCAAAUGCAGCUACUUUGCUGUUAUUCUGCCUGCACUUUUUGACGUGACUGUAAGUUAGCCGUAGUUGGCUAGCAAGCAAGGGAGAAGAAGUUGCCAGCCAGUAUGGCAAUGGAACAUUUAGAAUGAACGACUAACACACAUCUAUAGAUGCAGAACAAAAAGACUGAACGACUGGGUCAAGUCUCUGGCAACCGAACCGAUAGAACCAACAACGAGCUUGCUUGGGUAGCAACCUCAGAUUUGUGCCGCGACUAUAUCUUUUGGAAGGAUGAAAUGACCUGAUCCCACCAGAUGUGUGUGUAACCUGCUCAACACCUCCACUAUCUAUGCAAACAAUGAGUAUCCUGAAGGUAUCCGCCUAUAUUACUACAUCCCAAACUUCGCUGCACAGGGCCUUCACUAUGAUAUUCAAAAGGGCCUCCUGAUGAAGAUCGAUGCUUUCCAUUACAUUCAGCUGGGGACUGUGUAUCAGUGAGUUCUGGUUAUGGGGGGCUGAACCCAGUUCCAGAUGAGGUCCUGAGGCUCUAUGGGGCUACCCACCAUGUCCCCCUACACCAGAUCAGCGAAUUCUACGGACAGACUACAUAAACAUAAAUGGAUCUCAAAGUGAAGCAGUUCAUGAACAUCUUCUCCAUCCCAGAGAUGACCCUCCUAGCUGUGGCCAAUGAUUUCUUCAUCUCCAACGACAUUGAGUACGAUCCUGAGCACCUCAUCAAAGAUGUCUCAGUGAAUGUCUCAGCACACUUGAUUAAUGCAAUGAUUCAGAAAUGUGUGGCUAUUUUAAAAGUCUUUAAUUUUUACUCUGGCUAACAGAGUAAAAAUGCUGUCUUCUGGUGUUAAGGUCAUUCUUGCAGGGACAUGUGGUGUGGGAGAUCAUGUCUUUACACUGUACCACUCAGAGGGGAGGUAUGUGGUGUAGAUGUCUCCCACACAACCUCUGGAAGGAUCUGAAUCUAGAUCUGUCUCUUUAUGCAGUAUCUCUCCUGGACCUAGUUUGUGUCGUCAAAGUAGUGUAGUGUAAAGAGGCCCUAACUCUGGUGAACAAAAGACUAUUAUAUUUUAUGAUAUUCUUUCACUCACUAAUUAAACCUUGGUACAUACUGUCCUUUACAUGCUAUUCUCCCUCUUCUAGGACCAUGUCCCCUUUUUUCAGACUAAGAACAAAGAACCUGUUCAACAUGGCCUCCAUCAGCUGUCUGCUAAAUUACGAUCACUCCUAUACCUUCUACCCCCUAUGCAUCCCUCUGCAGCAUAAGGUGCCCCUGUGGCUGCAUGAAGACCCCUUUCCUAGAGGAGAUGGCCCACAUCCGCUGAGCCAACAAUGGGUUGUCAUGCUGGUUUCUCCUCGCUGGGUUCUCAACAUGGACAUUCACAAAACAGCCCACCAGAGGGCACUGUAGAUCAGUAUUAUUCAGAGAAUAAGCUUAGGUUAUUACUAUUUCUGUAACUGAAUACUGUGAGUAGUAUCAUGGCCUAUAUAGGAGUUACUCUCUGGCAGAUCUAAGUGAACCAAUAAUAGACAUGCACUUCAGAAACCUUUAACUUAAACACCCUUCAUUGUACAUGUUAGUUAUUAACUAAUUGGUCAUACACCCAUCCCUGUGAGACUGGCAAACAAAAUAUCUGGUUGCAUUUGAUGACCAGCAUGCAAAGACCGAUGCAGCAUGUGCCCAUCAUGGACACAUGUCUAUUUCGUGAUGAAAACAUAGCACGUACUGUAUGUUAACGAUGUAUGUUCAAAAUACUGUAGCUGCUUUUAAAAUAGAAUAUGACAAAAUGUAAACAAUUUUGUCACUGUUGUAACUUUUUUCAUUUGUCAUGAUGUUGCAUGUGUAGCCUAUUGAUUGUUG
rnacentral:lncRNA from 1 species